GUUUGGUUAAGUUAGAAAGGGCGCACGGUGGAUGCCUUGACACUAGGAGUCGAUGAAGGACGGGACUAACGCCGAUAUGCUUCGGGGAGCUGUAAGUAAGCUUUGAUCCGAAGAUUUCCGAAUGGGGAAACCCACUAUACGUAAUGGUAUGGUAUCCUUACCUGAAUACAUAGGGUAUGGAAGACAGACCCAGGGAACUGAAACAUCUAAGUACCUGGAGGAAGAGAAAGCAAAUGCGAUUUCCUGAGUAGCGGCGAGCGAAACGGAAUCUAGCCCAAACCAAGAGGCUUGCCUCUUGGGGUUGUAGGACAUUCUAUACGGAGUUACAAAGGAACGAGGUAGACGAAGCGACCUGGAAAGGUCCGUCGUAGAGGGUAACAACCCCGUAGUCGAAACUUCGUUCUCUCUUGAAUGUAUCCUGAGUACGGCGGAACACGUGAAAUUCCGUCGGAAUCUGGGAGGACCAUCUCCCAAGGCUAAAUACUCCCUAGUGAUCGAUAGUGAACCAGUACCGUGAGGGAAAGGUGAAAAGCACCCCGGAAGGGGAGUGAAAGAGAUCCUGAAACCGUGUGCCUACAAAUAGUCAGAGCCCGUUAAUGGGUGAUGGCGUGCCUUUUGUAGAAUGAACCGGCGAGUUACGAUCCCGUGC
rnacentral:rRNA from 2 species